GACGAACGCUGGCGGCGUGCUUAACACAUGCAAGUCGAACGAAGAGCGAUGGAAGCUUGCUUCUAUCAAUCUUAGUGGCGAACGGGUGAGUAACGCGUAAUCAACCUGCCCUUCAGAGGGGGACAACAGUUGGAAACGACUGCUAAUACCGCAUGCGAUCUAACCUCGGCAUCGAGGAUAGAUGAAAGGUGGCCUCUAUUUAUAAGCUAUCACUGAAGGAGGGGAUUGCGUCUGAUUAGCUAGUUGGAGGGGUAACGGCCCACCAAGGCGAUGAUCAGUAGCCGGUCUGAGAGGAUGAACGGCCACAUUGGGACUGAGACACGGCCCAGACUCCUACGGGAGGCAGCAGUGGGGAAUCUUCCGCAAUGGACGAAAGUCUGACGGAGCAACGCCGCGUGAGUGAUGACGGCCUUCGGGUUGUAAAGCUCUGUUAAUCGGGACGAAAGGCCUUCUUGCGAAUAGUUAGAAGGAUUGACGGACCGAAUAGAAGCCACGC
rnacentral:rRNA from 1 species